UACGUAGGGGGCAAGCGUUGUCCGGAUUUAUUGGGCGUAAAGAGCGUGUAGGCGGCCAAGCAGGUCAGCUGUGAAAACUCGAGGCUCAACCUCGAGACGUCGGUUGAAACCGUUUGGCUAGAGUCCGGAAGGGGCGAGUGGAAUUCCUGGUGUAGCGGUGAAAUGCGCAGAUAUCAGGAGGAACACCAAUGGCGAAGGCAGCUCGCUGGGACGUGACUGACGCUGAGACGCGAAAGCGUGGGGAGCAAACAGG
rnacentral:rRNA from 1 species